rnacentral:rRNA from 1 species
GGCGGACGGGUGAGUAACGCGUGAGCAAUCUGUCCUACACAGGGGGAUAACACUUGGAAACAGGUGCUAAUACCGCAUAAGACCACGAGGUCGCAUGGCCAUGGGGUAAAAGAUUUAUCGGUGUAGGGUGAGCUCGCGUCCCAUUAGCUAGUUGGUGAGGUAACGGCCCCACCAAGGCGACGAUGGGUAGCCGACYUGAGAGGGUGAUCGGCCACAUUGGAACUGAGACACGGUCCGGACUCCUACGGGAGGCAGCAGUGGGGAAUAUUGGGGCAAUGGGGCGCAAGCCUGACCCCAGCAACGCCGCGUGAAGGGAAGAAGGUUUUUCGGAUUGUAAACUUCUGUCCUUGGGGACGAAGAAAGUGACGGUACCCAAGGAGGAAGCCCCGGCUAACUACGUGCCAGCAGCCGCGGUAAUACGUAGGGGGCAAGCGUUGUCCGGAAUGACUGGGCGUAAAGGGCGUGUAGGCGGCUUUUUAAGUGUGAAGUGAAAGUCCUGCUUUCAAGGUGGGAAUUGCUUUGCAAACUGGAGAGCUUGAGUGCGGAAGAGGUAAGUGGAAUUCCCAGUGUAGCGGUGAAAUGCGUAGAGAUUGGGAGGAACACCAGUGGCGAAGGCGACUUACUGGGCCGCAACUGACGCUGAGGCGCGAAAGCGUGGGGAGCGAACAGGAUUAGAUACCCUGGUAGUCCACGCUGUAACCGAUGUUUCUAGGUGU